rnacentral:misc_RNA from 1 species
UAUUAAUCGUUAUUUUCUAAUGUCUAAAUUUGGCCAGCAUAGUUGAUUAUAUAUCACUUAUUGUAGGCGGAUCAGGUCGUUGAGUCUCAGACUACCACUCGAUAUGCCGAUGCUUCCAACACCAUCUUCAACACAACUUAAAUUGUUAUAAGAAAUAUUUUAGAUAAUAAAACUUUUACAGAAAUUUCUGGCACGAUAGAGAAUCCGUAAUUCACAGGGUACUAAGGAUGUAAGUGUCAGUUAAUAUUUGUAAUGUAAUGUAUAAUGUAAUUAAUGGGUACAAACAAGGUGAUUCACGCUUCAAUAAUUUGGUAUUAAACUACGCUAUUCUCUGUAUAUUAUGCUACGUAUUGUGCAUUGUACGCAAGGUCAUGACAAAACGGUGUUGUCUCUCACAAUUUAAAUUAUUGCGCUAUCCAGUCGAAUAUAAGUUGUAUAAUCGUUAAGUUGUGUAGGUAAAAAGCGCUACAGUGUUUACCACUUGGUGUUACUAUAGCAGCAAAAGUUAAUUCGCGUAUCCAUCCGUGUUGGUGUCUCCAACAUCCAAAAAAAAAUAAGUACUGUUGCAACAAAAGACCGCUAAUUUUUAACUUCGACAUACAUACAUAUGUAUGUAUGUAUACGGCGUAUUAUUAAAUACACAGUUACAUAUAAAUACGAUAUCUCUAAAAUCAUCAUUCGAAAUGGCGCAGAUUGCAACAAGUAUGGCUAAUGCCUUUAGUAAUGAAUCGGAGAUGAAAGCCAUGGAUGCUAACCGGUAUGCGACUAAGAAAACAAUUGCUCAAGGUAUGCUGGAUAUCGCCCUUCUCACCGCCAAUGCCUCCCAAUUGAAAUAUAUACUUCAAGUUGGGGACCAACAUCAGUUUUAUAAACUAAUGCUGAUAAUGAUAAGCCUUUCGAUAAUCUUACAGGUAAUUGCUGGGAGUUUACUGGUUGUUUUGUCAGUUAUCGGGAUACACAAAAAUAAAUAUCAACGCUCGCUUGCAGAGACACUAAAUCAUAUUGUGAAUGGAGUAAUUUUCGUAUCGGUUUUUUGCGAUAUCAUAAAAAUGAGUUUUGGUCUUGAUCCCGCGAUUCCCAUGGUCGGAAAAGUUGACAAAUUAAAACAAUAGUUCAUUGUGCAUUGGUAAAUUUAAUUGGUAGUUUAUUUAUGUAUUAUUAGUUUUACUCAAAUCUAUAAAGUUAUAAUUCUAAUACGAAAAUUUUGUUCGUAAGAAUUCAUAAAUAGUUACAUUUUUUUACCUGAUUUUUAUUCGUUUUUGGAUCCAUAUAGUCAAAAUCAGCUGUUUUAUUUGGUUUUCAUGAUUCAAAUUAAAUUUUUCAAAGAUUUCAACCAAUGGACGUGUGAUUGUAAAUAACACCAAAUUAUAAGAAUAAAAAUAAAUCAUAAGAAAAAAAACAACAAAUUCAAUUGCACUGCAGGGUAAUCAAACUGCUGCAGUCAAUAACAUUUCGACUGAGCUAAUCAUAUGUGAUGCCAAAAAGAAAGAAAUAGUAAUAUGUAUGUAUAUUAUAUGUAUGCACAUACAUACAUAUGUAGCUAUUAUAUGAAAUGUAGUGGGAUGGAAUCUUGUCACAAUUGAAAUAUUGUAAUUAUGCUUCUUAUCCAAACAGGAAAUAUAUGCAUAUGUAUGUACAUACAUACAUAUUUACAUAUACAUUUCUAUCGCAUAGAUAUUUGUGUUGAAGGACGAGUUUCCGACUAUCAUUUUGUUGAAAACUCUAUGAAUGCUCUACUGGAAACUCACAAGCACCACAGUAACAGAUAUUGUCAAUAUAAAGAAGAAGAACUGAUAUUUAAUGCUUCAGUUAAGAGGGCAGUCGUCAUGCAAUUAGAAAAAAUUACAUCAUGAAAUUUUACUUACAUCCAAAGAUAAAAUAGCAUCGGACAUCGAACCCUUUUAUUACUCUCAUAAGGAGAAAGGAUAAAGAAGUACUAAUUUAAAUGUGGAGUGUUUUGAUUCAGUUCGACAACCGAUUUUUUAAUUCUUAACUUGUGCUCAAAAAAUGUUUUCCCAUAUUUAAUCAAACAUGUUUAUUACAAACAGAAACCUUAUUUUUAUUUUUAUAUGAAACAUAAUAAAGAGUACCAAAGAAUAUUCAUAUUGUCCUUGGGAAAAGCAUGCAAAUUAUGACCCUUUAAUUAAUAUCAAAUAAAUAUAUUAGUAUCCUUGAAUGUUCUUUAACAUUUUUCUGUAAAACAACAUAAAUUAAA